AGGGGGGCUAGCCCUAAAACUUGCAAGUCGAACGCUUUGUGGUUCAACUGAUUUGAAGAGCUUGCUCAGAUAUGACGAUGGACAUUGCAAAGAGUGGCGAACGGGUGAGUAACACGUGGGAAACCUACCUCUUAGCAGGGGAUAACAUUUGGAAACAGAUGCUAAUACCGUAUAACAAUAGCAACCGCAUGGUUGCUACUUAAAAGAUGGUUCUGCUAUCACUAAGAGAUGGUCCCGCGGUGCAUUAGUUAGUUGGUGAGGUAAUGGCUCACCAAGACGAUGAUGCAUAGCCGAGUUGAGAGACUGAUCGGCCACAAUGGGACUGAGACACGGCCCAUACUCCUACGGGAGGCAGCAGUAGGGAAUCUUCCACAAUGGGCGAAAGCCUGAUGGAGCAACGCCGCGUGUGUGAUGAAGGGUUUCGGCUCGUAAAACACUGUUGUAAGAGAAGAAUGACAUUGAGAGUAACUGUUCAAUGUGUGACGGUAUCUUACCAGAAAGGAACGGCUAAAUACGUGCCAGCAGCCGCGGUAAUACGUAUGUUCCAAGCGUUAUCCGGAUUUAUUGGGCGUAAAGCGAGCGCAGACGGUUAUUUAAGUCUGAAGUGAAAGCCCUCAGCUCAACUGAGGAAUUGCUUUGGAAACUGGAUGACUUGAGUGCAGUAGAGGAAAGUGGAACUCCAUGUGUAGCGGUGAAAUGCGUAGAUAUAUGGAAGAACACCAGUGGCGAAGGCGGCUUUCUGGACUGUAACUGACGUUGAGGCUCGAAAGUGUGGGUAGCAAACAGGAUUAGAUACCCUGGUAGUCCACACCGUAAACGAUGAGUGCUAGGUGUUUGAGGGUUUCCGCCCUUAAGUGCCGCAGCUAACGCAUUAAGCACUCCGCCUGGGGAGUACGACCGCAAGGUUGAAACUCAAAGGAAUUGACGGGGGACCCGCACAAGCGGUGGAGCAUGUGGUUUAAUUCGAAGCAACGCGAAGAACCUUACCAGGUCUUGACAUCCCUUGACAACUCCAGAGAUGGAGCGUUCCCUUCGGGGACAAGGUGACAGGUGGUGCAUGGUUGUCGUCAGCUCGUGUCGUGAGAUGUUGGGUUAAGUCCCGCAACGAAGCGCAACCCUUAUUACUAGUUGCCAGCAUUCAGUUGGGCACUCUAGUGAAAACUGCCGGUGACAAACCCGGAAGGAAGGUGGGGGAUGA
rnacentral:rRNA from 1 species